GCCUAUGGCCAUACCACCCUGAAAGCGCCCGAUCUCGUCUGAUCUCGGAAGUUAAGCAGGGGAGGGCCUGCUUAGUACCUGGAUGGGAGACCGCCUGGGAAUACCAGGUGUUGUAGGCU
rnacentral:rRNA from 1 species